UCAGAGGAAGAGGAAACAACCAAAAUCCAGUUAUAUUCGGGAAAGAGCCAUGGUAUAUCAGUGUAAUCUCACAACACCAUGGAGAUUAAUGAAGUAAUUGAGCCACACUAUGUUCAAAUAGAAGCCUACAACUUUGAGCAGAAAUUUUUUUUUAGAUGUACCUUCUUGCCUACAAACUAUACACCACUAAUCGCAAAUAAGUUCAAUAGUUUGGCAAUUAUAGUGUCAUGCAACAUUCCCGAGAGAGAGAGAGUCUCUGUUAAUCAAGGGUAUUGGAAGAGGUGGACUAGGUGCGCUGUGAAUACUGGAAAUAUUAAGCACAGGCAUUCUUACACUUAACAGGCUGAGCAUUAAUGAUCCAAACUCACCCAAUAACACCCUGUCCGGUACAUUAUUUUUCUGUUCUCUUUACAUUUCUCCACCUCCCCCUCAGCCCCAUAUGCUGGAAGUGCCUGUAGUCUGCCAAACUGGAUUGGGUCAGACCAAAUGGGUUGAGCCCAUGAAUAGUUGGCCAAUUGGCCUUGGCCCUUGCCAGAGCCCAUGAAUAGUUGGCCAAGUGGCCUUAGCCCUUGCCAUUGCAGUGGACUAUCAAUGGGUCAGGCCAGACUCAAUCAGGUCCGAACCAGGAGAUACACUCCCUACAGGUCGGCGCCAUGUGGACAUUGAGUGGCAUAGCUCGGCCAUGUGAUAGUGGCCCACGUGUUAUUCGGUGUUAUUCGGCAAUCGUUGCCAUGAGGGCACGUGCUCGACACAGAAUCACUUGGUGCCCAAGUACAGGUUCUCCAUAAAAGGUACACUAUAAACCCAAGAGAGACACGUCGUGACUUGCUAUCUUAGCACUGCGUACUUUCCUCCCUUCUGGAAUGAGAACUGACUUGUGGCUGGAAUACCUUGGCACUAAGGCACUAACCAGUUCUCCCGUAUUGCAGUUGUACUCAGACAGUGAGAGCAGCCUUCAGCAUCAUCCAAUCAAGAGGAAUUGUGAGGAAUGAAAAUCCGAAACCCCACAGCCUGCCCCCUUAGUUUAGUUUAUCUCUUGUUCAAUAAAGUUUAACCCCAAAUACAUCCCAUAAGCUCUCGAAGGUGAAAGAUCCGGCAACUGAGGUGAUUUCAGUAUCGGUGGUGGUGGAGGUGAAUACAGAGGAGGCGGCAGGGGUCCUAGGAGAUAUAUAACGAGGUCACUGGAAGAUUGGGUAUAGCAAAUCGAGUAUUUUCAAGGAUCUGGUGAGGUUUGAGAAGAAUGCAAGGCGACGGUCGUAAGUGGCGAUUAGGAUGUCAACGAGCAAGUUAUGGAAGCACGCUUUUCUCUAGUAGCUUUUUGAUCCAUGUUUAAAAGUCGAUUGCUUGAGGGGAAGGUUGAGAUUUUACCAGUAGCAGCAUUAGAAGCGUUAUCUUCUCCCGAAAGCCACUCAUGCAUUUCUUUGGCUAUUGUACCAAUUUCAAGUUUCGAAACU